rnacentral:lncRNA from 1 species
AUUCUUAAAUUUUUCCUGAUUUGCUGAUUCAAGCAUUGCCAGAGGUCUUUUUUUUUAAAUCCAAGCAGUGUUCAAUAUUAGUAGUGGUACAAUGAGUUACUGUCCUUUUUGUUAUCAAGUUGGGAUCAAAUGUUGUAAUGAAAAUCAGUAGAGUAUUUCCUCUCUGUCCCUCUGAAAGUAAGAACAAAUAUAUACAUCAGAUAUAGAUAGAUAAAAAGAGAUUAUAUUUUCACAAGUGAUUAGCAUGACUCAGGUGAUCUACUACUAAAAUAAGUUUAUGCAGAUUCCUUGUUUUCUUUUAAAAACAUUUCAUUUUCUCUUUUACUUGUCUACAGCUACUUCAAUUUUGGCACAUCUUUUAUGCUGUAGUACCAAAUCACAACCCUGUUUCAGAAUGAUCCAGGCCAUUAGCAUCACCUUCGUAAUUGGAAGAUGCAGCUUUAUUCAUUCACUACAGUAUCACUUAGUAGAUUCAGAUAAUCUUUGUGGACAAUGUGGGAUAAGAGUCCAAAACUAUGGAUGGACAUGGCGAGAGGGACAUGGAAAUCUCCAGUUCAGAGAAGGCUCCCAAGUACCUAAUUGAGAGCAAGUUGGCAGCUUCUAUCCCCAAGACACAGAUUUCACUCAUCAUUGUUACAGAAUGAAAAAUUUAAGAAACCCCCAAGAGAAGAAUUUUCUUAUUUUAUUCAAACGAAGCUUCCAUCUGAAGGCACAUAUGCCACCAUAUGGGAUCCAUUUCAAGCAUUCAUUAGGAGAAGAAUAAUUAGUCUAGCAUCAUACCAGGAAGAAAAGAAGAGGCCCAGAGGAUAAUUACUUUAGAAACAGAAAUAAAAGACCUUGAAACUAAAUUUGCUAGGGACA